rnacentral:rRNA from 1 species
CCUACGGGAGGCAGCAGUGAGGAAUAUUGGUCAAUGGACGAGAGUCUGAACCAGCCAAGUAGCGUGAAGGAUGACUGCCCUAUGGGUUGUAAACUUCUUUUAUAUGGGAAUAAAACGUUCCACGUGUGGGAUUUUGUAUGUACCAUAUGAAUAAGGAUCGGCUAACUCCGUGCCAGCAGCCGCGGUAAUACGGAGGAUCCGAGCGUUAUCCGGAUUUAUUGGGGUUAAAGGGAGCGUAGGUGGAUUGUUAAGUCAGUUGUGAAAGUUGGUGGCUAAACCGUAAAAUUGCAGUUGAAACUGGCAGUCUUGAGUACAGUAGAGGUGGGCGGAAUUCGUGGUGUAGCGGUGAAAUGCUUAGAUAUCACGAAGAACUCCGAUUGCGAAGGCAGUUCACUGGACUGCAACUGACACUGAGGCUCGAAAGUGUGGGUAUCAAACAGGAUUAGAUACCCCAGUAGUC